rnacentral:tRNA from 1 species
GGUGCGGCCAGGGCGGGCGCGGCCAGUCCGAGCGUUGCUGCGGUCAGCGCGGCAGCUGCGGCGGCGGUGAAGGUGAAGUUCGUCAUUUCGCUGUCCCGC